rnacentral:lncRNA from 1 species
GGGCAUGGUUUUGCGAACCGAAACUACCGGGAGAGAGAGGAGGUCGCAGCGAACUCGAUUCCAAGCUUAGCGCGGCCGGGGAGACCAAACGUGACCCGCUCCAUGGCCGGCGGCCAUGGAGCUCGAUGGAGUUCGCCGAAACCGACCCCAACGACCAAGAAACGGAACGAAACGAGCACCGGGAGGAAGCGAGGAAGGAGACGAUGCUCACCCAGGGGACGAAACGCGGCAAAAGGGCUCCAAACGGAGGAACGACGCGCGGCGGCGCUUGCUGCUCCGGCAGUUUCUUUUCUGCGCUAGGAUGAGAGGAAAACAGAGGCGAGGAGGGGGAAUGGGGGAGAAAGAACAGGGCUCGGGCGCGGGGCUCUUCAAAAGCUUCCGAGGCGCGGGGGGGGGGGGAAAUCGUGGGCGCGGGCUUCGGCCUUGCGGUUUCCAAACCGAUAGAGAGAGAAGAGCGGGGGUGACGGUUGGGGAAGAGAGAGCUGACAGGCGGGCCCGGCCUGUCAGCGGGUGAGAGAGAGAGAGGGGGAAGGGAGGGGGAGGCGGCUGGGCCGGCCCAAGAAGGAGAUGGGGCGCGCGGGGGGGGUUGCUGGGCCUCCAAGCCGAAAAGAGGAAGGGGAAGAGAAGUUUCUUUUUUUUUCUUUUUUUUUUAUACUAUUUUUUUUUUCCAAUUGAGAUUUUGAGCAGGAAAAAGAAAAUAAAAGAAUCACUUUGUUUUCCAAUCAAUCAUCACAAAAGAAAUGCUCCGGCAUGAAUGCAACAUAAACAUUUCUCUAAGUUUAUAACAAAUUUUAAUUUCUCCAAAUUUAUUUAUUUUCCUAUAGUGAAAAUGCUCACAAAAUGAAUUCAUUUAAAUUCAUUUCAUCUAUUUAAAAGAAACAAAAUUUUUGGGUGUUACAAUUCUACCCCCCUUAAAAAUAAUCUCGUUCUCGAGAUUGAGAUGGUGCUUACUCAAAGAGAUACGGAUAAGAUUGCCUCAGCUCAUCUUCUCUUUCCCAAGUGGCUUCUUCUUCUUUAUAUCGGUGCCACUGCACUUUGCACAUCUUUAUAACCCGACUCCGGGUGACUCUUUCCGCCGUUUCUAAGAUCUUGAUUGGAUAUUCCUCAUAAGUUAGAUCUCCUUCAACUGUGAGUUCCUCCAAUGGAAUUUGUUCCUCAGGCACUCGCAAACAUUUCUUCAGUUGCGACACAUGGAACACAUCAUGAAUACCCGACAUACUCGCAGGCAACUCUAACUGAUAGGCCACUUCUCCACGUCUCCUAAGAAUUCUGAACGGUCCAACGUACCUCGGUGCCAAUUUUCCCUUCAUAUUAAACCUCCUGACACUUCUCAUAGGUGACACCUUCAAAUACACAUAGUUGCCUAUCUCGAAUGCCAAUUCUCUUCUUCUAGUAUCAGCAUAACUCUUUUGCCGGGACUGGGCUACUCUCAAGUUGUCCCGUAUUUUCCGCACUUUUUCCUCUGCAUCUCUAAGAACAUCAGGUCCAAAUACUUGACUCUCGCCAGUCUGAUUCCAAAACAGAGGUGUUCUACAUUUCCGCCCAUACAAUGCUUCAAACGGUGCCAUAUCAAGACUUUUCUGGUAACUAUUAUUAUAUGAAAAUUCAGCAUAUGGUAAACUAGUGUCCCAAUUGGUACCAUACUGUAACGCACACGCUCUCAACAUGUCUUCUAGAAUCUGAUUUACUCUUUCAGUCUGCCCAUCAGUUUGGGGAUGAUACGCGGAACUAAAGUUCAACUUUGUUCCCAAUGAUUCAUGUACUUUAUGCCAAAACUGAGAUGUGAACUGUGUACCCCGAUCAGACACGAUCUUCUUCGGAACUCCGUGCAGACUCACGAUUCUAUCCAUAUAUAACUUUGCCAACUUUGCACCAUCAUAGUUGGUCUUAACGGGCAAAAAGUGAGCAACUUUAGUGAGUCGAUCCACUAUUACCCAAAUUGAAUCAUACCCACGCUGGGUGCGGGGCAAUCCAGUGAUGAAAUCCAUACCUACUUCUUCCCAUUUCCACUCGGGCACUUGCAUUGGCUGCAACAACCCUGCAGGUCUUUGGUGCUCGGCUUUCACCCUCUGACAAGUAUCACAUAACGCUACAUACUCUGCCACAUCUCUCUUUAAUCCAUACCACCAAUAUUUUUCUUUAAGAUCUAGAUACAUCUUGGUGCUUCCGGGGUGAAUUGAAUAUGCAGAGUCAUGUGCUUCACGCAGGAUUGCAUCUCGGAUGGAUUUCACUUCUGGCACACAUAUUCUCUUCCUAAACCAUAGUGUACCAUUUUCGUCUAACUUGAAACCCGGUGCUUUUCCAAGCACUACAUUCUCUGAAAUUUCUUUUAGUUUCUCAUCUUCCAACUAACCUUUGCGGAUUUCUUGCUCUAAGGUGGGCUCUAACUCCAAUUCAACAGUGUUGUUCACUAAACCCAAAUUGAGAUGCGCUAUUUCAGCUAGCAACUCUGUGGGAAUGAAGGUCAAUUGCAGCCCAUUGGCAUAACUCUUUCGGCUAAGUGCAUCGGCAACAACGUUUGCCUUCCCGGGAUGGUAAUGCACUUCCAGGUCAUAAUCCUUUAUUAAUUCUAGCCAGCGGCGUUGCCUUAGGUUCAGGUCUGACUGUGUGAAAAUAUACUUCAAACUUUUGUGAUCCGUAUAAAUAUCACACUUAUGUCCAAUUAGAUAAUGCCUCCAAAUCUUCAGAGCAUGAACCACGGCAGCUAGCUCCAAAUCAUGAGUAGGAUAGUUCAGCUCAUGUUUUCUCAACUGCCUGGAUGCGUACGCCACUACUCUUCCUUCUUGCAUAAGCACACAGCCAAGGCCUAGGCGAGAUGCAUCGCAAUAAAUAGAGAAGGUUUUGCUCAGAUCUGGUAAGGUCAACACGGGGGCUGUGGUCAACCUUUUCUUUAGCUCCUCAAAAUUUUCUUGACACUUAUCUGACCAAAUAAAUUUGGCAGUCUUCUCUAGUAGGGCUGUCAUGGGCUUUGCUAACUUAGAGAAGCCUUCAAUAAAUCUCCUAUAAUAACCAGCUAGUCCCAAAAAGCUACGGAUCUCACUAGCAUUGGUUGGAGGCUUCCAAUUUAGCACAUCCCGCACUUUGCUGGGGUCUACGGCUAUUCCACCGUUAGAGACCACAUGUCCCAAAAAUGAGACCUCAUCCAACCAAAACUCACACUUGCUUUUCUUGGCAUACAAUUUAUUCUCUCUAAGCUUUUGCAAGACCAGCCUCAAGUGUUCAGCAUGUUCUUCUUUGGUUUUGGAGAAGAUUAAUAUAUCAUCAAUGAAUACUACCACGAACUUAUCCAAAUACUCCAUGAACACCUUGUUCAUCAUAUACAUGAAGUAUGCAGGUGCAUUGGUCAGCCCAAAUGACAUGACUGUAUACUCAUACAAGCCAUACCUUGUGGUAAAAGCUGUCUUAGGUAUGUCAGUUGCACGGAUUUUCAACUGGUGAUAGCCAGAUCGAAGGUCAAUUUUGGAGAAUACACAUGCUCCUUUCAGUUGGUCAAAUAAGUCAUCUAUUCUAGGCAAUGGGUACUUGUUUUUAAUAGUGACUUCAUUUAAUGACCGAUAAUCCACACACAUCCUCCUAGUGCCAUCUUUCUUAUCAACAAAGAUUACUGGUGCACCCCAUGGUGAAGAACUAGGACGAAUAAACCCUUUUUCUUGCAAUUCCUUAAGUUGUUUCUUAAGUUCCUCUAAUUCAUUUACCCCCAUUCUAUAUGGUCUUUUUGCUAUGGGUGCAGUUCCAGGUAAAAGCUCAAUAAGAAAUUCAAUGUCUCGGUCUGGUGGCAUACCUGGCAACUCAUCCGGGAAAACAUCGGGGAACUCGUCCACCACCUGGUCUUCUUGAUUACCACCACUCAACUGAUUCACCGUAGCAGUCGGCUGAGGCUGCACUGCCACAUCCACACUUAUUCUAUCCCCACAUGGUGAUGUCACCACCACAGCCCUCUCUUGACACUGUAUUACUGCCCCAUGCUGCUUCAUCCAAUCCAUACCAAGUAUGAGGUCAAUUCCCAUGGUUCUUAGCACAAUAGGUUUCACCUUGAAAUCUACCCCCCUUAGAGAUAUACUAGUGGAGGGGCUCCAGUAAUUAGCUGGCAUGGUGCCUCCCGGUGAAUUUACUAGCAUGGAAUUUUUCAGUGCACAAAGUGGGAUGCUAUGCACUCUAACAAAAGCUUGGGAGAUAAAAGAAUGUGAAGCACCAGAAUCAAACAGUACUGUAGCGGGGAUGGAGUUGAUGUUGAACGUACCCAUCAUAACCUCAGGUGCUUCCUGAGCUGUGUCAGUGGACACAUGGUUCACUUUCCCAGAGAACGGAGGUCGAGCAGGCCUCUGAUUGUUGUUCUGAUUUUGCUGGGCUGGUGGAUUCUGCUUCCUGGGGCACUGGUAGGCAUAGUGUCCCACCUCUCCGCAGCGGUAACAGGCAUUGGGAUUUCCGCUGGGUGCUGCACUCUUGCCAGGAGCAUUGUUGGGCACUCCUUGGCGUGGUGCCUGGUUGCUGACCUGUUGCUGGAGGCGCUGCUGACUCUGAUUGCCAUACUGCUGUUGAGGGCGUUGUUGGUUUUGGUGGCUGUACUGCUGGUGGUACUGAGGACGCUGUGGAAACUGACUCCGGUUCCACUGAUUCGGCGGCCCUUGACUGCGCUGAGGGAAUCCCUGCUGAGGGUACGCACGUGGGCGAGUGUUGCUGCCCGACGGCUGCCCCUGGAGCUUUCUCUUCUUUGCAUCCAUCUCCUUGCGCUUGUUGUCGAUGACAAUAGCGCGGUUCACCAAUUCUUGAAAGCAAGGGUAGGUGUUGCUCAUCAGCUGCAGCUGCAGUCCAUCAUACAGACCCUUCAUGAAAAGACGUUGCUUGUCAGAGUCCCUGGCCACCUCAUAUGGAGCAUAUCGUGACAGUUGAGCAAACUUGUCACGAUACUCACUGACUGACAUUGAUCCCUGCUUGAGAGAUCUGAACUCUUCCGCUUUCAGUUCUAUCAGGCCCUCCGGAAUAUGAUGGGACCUGAACCCUUCCGUAAACUCCUUCCAGGUGACUGGCGGAGCAUUGUUCGGGCGUCCAUAUUGAUAGGACUCCCACCACUCCUGUGCAGGUCCUUGCAGCUGACCUGAUGCGUACAGCACUUUCUCCAGGUCGCUGCAUUGGGCAAUGUUCAGCUGCUUCUCGACUGCUUUUAACCAGUCGUCUGCCUCCAGUGGAUCAGAGGCAUGGGUGAACACCGGAGGGCGUCCUUUCAAGAACUCCCCUCGCUUGUCACGGACUUGAACCGGAGGUGGUGCUGCUACUGGUUCAUUGUUCAUACGGUUCAUCAUGGCUUGCAUCAAAUUAGCUUGCAUACCCAUAAGCUGCUCAAUAGUCAUCGGCGGCGGUGGUGGUGGUGGAUUCUCAGGUACACCACGUCCACGGCCACGACCACGGCCACGGCCACGUCCACGACCAGCGGCUGCUCCUUCGGCGUCCAUCUGCUUCCAACAAAAAUUCAUGGCUUUUAGUGAUCUUCCAAAAAUAAUUAUUCAUCGCUUAUAGUGAAUAAAAACAAGUCUAGCAGUUUUCUGGACAAGUUUCAAACUCAGCAGGUCAGUAAUCCGUGCUUAUCUCAGAACCUACAGGUCCAAAAAGGAAUAUGGUAUACAUUGUUGGAAAGGUUAAGAAAUUCUCUACAAACUUUAUUCAGACCACAUUCACUGAUUCCAACAGUAACAUAAUCAAAAUUAUGAUUUAUCAGGUUCUGCUCUGGUUCUCAGUCUGCGCAGGUACAGCAGAUUAAAACGGACAUAUCUCACAGAUCCGAAUAGAUAAUGAGGUGAUUCCAGUUGGAGAUGAAAGAUAUAGCAGUCUAGUUUUCACCAUAAAAAUUUCGUAAUUUUUGACUGAACUGAUAAUGAGAUACUGAAUAAGCAUCACAGACUGCUCCAGAAACAGCAUGACUGAGACAAGAUAAAGUAACCCAACCUCGAAAUUAAACAACAUUACUUCUAAGAUUAAUAUUUAGAAACAUGCGGACAGGCCCACAUGUUUCCACAAUCAAACAAAACUCCAAAUCAUAAAUGUUCAUCAACACAAACAGCAACUCACUAAAGUUCACAUGCCACACAUUACUGAAAUACUCGUGCUAGCGUCAAUCUAGAAAGUACUGGGAAAUCUAGGAGCUCUAUCCUGGAGAACGAACUUGCGGGGCUUCUUCUUGUAGAUGGGUGGCUGUCCAAGCUGACCACGCAGCUCAUCCACCUGACGCUGGAGGCGCUUCCCCGCCUGUUGUGCAACACGCAGCUCCUGUCUCAGUGCCCCAUUCAUCUCCUGAAUGGCACUGACGUGUCUCACAGUCGUAUCCAGGGUAGGGUCGCCGGCAGGAGGUGCCAGGACAUGUCAUGUCUUGCCAUCUGGGUCGUUGCGGGGAAGGAACCGGUACCUGUCCUCCUGCAUGGCCUCAAAACGGCGGCCAUGGUAGUGAAAGUACGCGGCCUGAGCUGCAUCCUCCAUGCUCUCGUAGGCGGAAGCACGUCUAACCCGGCUCUCGUGGAUGGACUCCACCUCGUCCGAGUUGUCGACGUUGUUCCGAGCUGUAAUGAUCACCUCGGCCUUCCAGUAGGUGUUCUCCAACGGGUGCUUGUGCUCCGAGCAAAGGUAGCGGACGGUGGCGGCAAACUCCGGGUAAUAGCUCGCCAACACACCCGUGAGCAGAGUGUGGUAGUGAGCGUCCUCGUCCGCCUCCAUGAACUUGUUCCUGGAGGUCCAUCCCAUCUCCGGAACAACCUGAGGGUACUGAGGCGUCGGUGCUGAACCCGUCGACGCGUGGGGUGCAGGCGCAGGUGGUGCAGGUGCAGGUGGUGCAGGCGCAGGUGGAACUGGAGCGGCAGCCCGCGGGAUCGGUACCGCCACUGGUGUAGGAGCUGAAGGCGUAGGCGUAGGGGAUCCCGUGUCCAUUGGCUCCUCCUCCUCGCCGCCACCAGAGGCGACGACCUCGGGCUCAGGUACGGGUGCUGGUACUGGUGCAGGUGCAGGUACUGGAGCUGGUGCUGGUGCAACUGCCGGAGCACGGGCGGCGACGAAGAGGGCACGGUACGCGGCUGCGCUGCGACGAGGCAUCUAUAAAUUUUGUUUUAAGAAUUAGAAUCAAUAGGUUUACAUAAAUAGAACAGUGAGUAAGAAUAUAAACUAUUAAUAAAAUAACAAGAAAGUAAAGUGAGCAGUGAAAUAAAUAAAGCGAAAAUAAGAACCCUAAAAUCGACUGUUUCUACCUAGGUUUGCGUCCUACAGUCAGCCUUGCUUUGAUACCAAUUUGUCACACCCAAAUUUAAGGAUAAAUUUGAGUACAAUAAUCUCAUGUGCGCCCAGGAAUAGUCGCGCACACAAGUCGACAAAUUACAAAUGUAUCAUAACAAGUGUUCUUACAAAACGUUAUUACAACACAAAUAUAUCAAAGUCUGCGACAAACGGAAAAUAAACUCAUAACUAGCUAUGAUAAGAUAACUCCAACACAGGGACGACCGACUGGGGGAUCGCCAACCUAGAAGUCCUCAGGGAAUUCCUCGUAGAAGCUGUCAUCUGUUACCCAUCCGGGAUUUUGUCCAAAAAGAAAGAUAAAGACAAGCGUGAGUACAUCUCGUACUCCGCAAGCAUAACACAGGAAUUUAUGCGGCUCAAAGAGGUCAGACACUGGCUACGGCAGUUAGCAUUUUAAUUGGUCAAUGUUUUAAUCCUAUUUAAUCAUCAAUUAUGCUUAAGCUCCCGAUUAGCCCAAAUGAGCACAUGAUAAUAACACCGUUAACCUUCACGGCUAACACCAUCACCAUCACGGUUAAACCACAUUAAUCAUCACGAUCCAUGCGUCAGAUUUUCAUAAGUUAUUUCCCAUAAUCAUCCACACCCAACUAUUCCGUAAGGGUCCAAGGCCACUCAUGUCCGAGAGCACGGCUAGUAUACCAGUUUGAUCAUACUCUGCGCAGAGGUGUGCACUUUUCCCGUAAGUCGUGUUACCCAUAUGCCCGGGGUUUGCAAGACCCACUAACACUGCCAAGGUGAGCGGGCAGGGAACACUAUGAAGCCUUCCGUAGGCCACGUCUAACCAGUUAGGGCCGCGAGGUUUCCUCGGCAGGCAGAUAUAGAGAACCCCCUUUCCUAUGGCACAUUUCCAUCAUGGCUAUACACAUAGGAACAAAAGCAGUUCUAUACCCAAAGUGGCAAGCCCCUCUUGCGCCCUUUCGGGUAACCUCUAACCAGCUAGAUGAGAUCCUAUUACUGAGCUAAAGUUAGAGCCAUAUAACCAUCGCGGUUGCACUGUAAGUCCCGGAUUGUCGCUUACAGAGAAGUCCUUACGGAGGGUCUAGGUCAACUCGACCGAAGUCAAUUGCACCAUAGCCCUUUUUCCCAACAUUUAUCAUCAUAUUCAUUAAAGUCAGAGUGAUAGUAAAUUCUCAAUUAAUUAAAGCACUAGCAAAGCUACCCACAUGCAUUCUACCCAUAGGUGUCAUAAAUAUAUAGUCAGGUAGCUAGGAUGUCCUUAGGGUUACCAAAUUAGACACAUGCAGAUGCGUAAUUAAUUAAGUGAAUAGGUGUACAAGGGAAACCCAUGUUAUACUUGCCUUCAGUGAAGGGGAACUGCUGCUGGUCCUGCUGCUCCUCGUAGUAAAAUGGAUCACCCACGGACACGUCACCGUCUGCGCUCGAUCGGUACCACACAACAACACGCAUCCAGGUUCAUUCAUACAAGCAAACAAUCAUUUAAUUAGAACAGUACACCAACAGAUCAAAAUGAAAUAAAAUACUUAAAAACAGAACCUUCGAUUCGCUACGAUCACAUUGGUACGAAGAUCACGAAAAUCGGAGCUAAAACGACCAAGUUACGACUUUCCGGCGAUUUCCUAUAGGCAAUUAAUUAAUUAAACCUAACCCUGAAAAUAAAAAGUGGCAAACUAUAGAAACAGUGGUACUAUCAUGUAGAGAAUUUAAUUAUGAACCUAACGCAAUUUGAACGGGUCAAUUCGGAGCUAUAACGAAUAUUUUAUGGCCAAAACAAGUUCAGUGGCAAUUCUGUAAUUUCCCGAAAGCGUAUUUUGACCUAACCGACGGAUAAUACGUUUUCUAAAAGAGAAAACGUAUUUUACUCGAAGGCGCUAGGGACUGCGGCCGAAUUAGGAAAUCCGGGAGGGGCUCUUUAAGCAAAUUUUCCCCUGAAGGGGUAUGAUGCGCUGAGGGCCGUCAGAUCGCGAACGGACGGCCGAGAUUAGAGAAAGGGGGAAAAGAGAGAGAGGGGCGGCCCUCCUGGCCGGAGGGAAAGGAGGGCGCGGCGGCGGCCAUUGCUGGCCGACCCAAGCUCGCCGGCGAAAUUCGAUAGGGCGCUACGGGGCAUGGUUUUGCGAACCGAAACUACCGAGAGAGAGAGGAGGUCGCAGCGAACUCGAUUCCAAGCUUAGCGCGGCCGGGGAGACCAAACGUGACCCGCUCCAUGGCCGGCGGCCAUGGAGCUCGAUGGAGUUCGCCGAAACCGACCCCAACGACCAAGAAACGGAACGAAACGAGCACCGGGAGGAAGCGAGGAAGGAGACGAUGCUCACCCAGGGGACGAAACGCGGCAAAAGGGCUCCAAACGGAGGAACGACGCGCGGCGGCGCUUGCUGCUCCGGCAGUUUCUUUUCUGCGCUAGGAUGAGAGGAAAACAGAGGCGAGGAGGGGGAAUGGGGGAGAAAGAACAGGGCUCGGGCGCGGGGCUCUUCAAAAGCUUCCGAGGCGCGGGGGGGGGGGGGAAAUCGUGGGCGCGGGCUUCGGCCUUGCGGUUUCCAAACCGAUAGAGAGAGAAGAGCGGGGGUGACGGUUGGGGAAGAGAGAGCUGACAGGCGGGCCCGGCCUGUCAGCGGGUGAGAGAGAGAGAGGGGGAAGGGAGGGGGAGGCGGCUGGGCCGGCCCAAGAAGGAGAUGGGGCGCGCGGGGGGGGUUGCUGGGCCUCCAAGCCGAAAAGAGGAAGGGGAAGAGAAGUUUCUUUUUUUUUCUUUUUUUUUUAUACUAUUUUUUUUUUCCAAUUGAGAUUUUGAGCAGGAAAAAGAAAAUAAAAGAAUCACUUUGUUUUCCAAUCAAUCAUCACAAAAGAAAUGCUCCGGCAUGAAUGCAACAUAAACAUUUCUCUAAGUUUAUAACAAAUUUUAAUUUCUCCAAAUUUAUUUAUUUUCCUAUAGUGAAAAUGCUCACAAAAUGAAUUCAUUUAAAUUCAUUUCAUCUAUUUAAAAGAAACAAAAUUUUUGGGUGUUACAAUUCUACCCCCCUUAAAAAUAAUCUCGUUCUCGAGAUUGAGAUGGUGCUUACUCAAAGAGAUACGGAUAAGAUUGCCUCAGCUCAUCUUCUCUUUCCCAAGUGGCUUCUUCUUCUUUAUAUCGGUGCCACUGCACUUUGCACAUCUUUAUAACCCGACUCCGGGUGACUCUUUCCGCCGUUUCUAAGAUCUUGAUUGGAUAUUCCUCAUAAGUUAGAUCUCCUUCAACUGUGAGUUCCUCCAAUGGAAUUUGUUCCUCAGGCACUCGCAAACAUUUCUUCAGUUGCGACACAUGGAACACAUCAUGAAUACCCGACAUACUCGCAGGCAACUCUAACUGAUAGGCCACUUCUCCACGUCUCCUAAGAAUUCUGAACGGUCCAACGUACCUCGGUGCCAAUUUUCCCUUCAUAUUAAACCUCCUGACACUUCUCAUAGGUGACACCUUCAAAUACACAUAGUUGCCUAUCUCGAAUGCCAAUUCUCUUCUUCUAGUAUCAGCAUAACUCUUUUGCCGGGACUGGGCUACUCUCAAGUUGUCCCGUAUUUUCCGCACUUUUUCCUCUGCAUCUCUAAGAACAUCAGGUCCAAAUACUUGACUCUCGCCAGUCUGAUUCCAAAACAGAGGUGUUCUACAUUUCCGCCCAUACAAUGCUUCAAACGGUGCCAUAUCAAGACUUUUCUGGUAACUAUUAUUAUAUGAAAAUUCAGCAUAUGGUAAACUAGUGUCCCAAUUGGUACCAUACUGUAACGCACACGCUCUCAACAUGUCUUCUAGAAUCUGAUUUACUCUUUCAGUCUGCCCAUCAGUUUGGGGAUGAUACGCGGAACUAAAGUUCAACUUUGUUCCCAAUGAUUCAUGUACUUUAUGCCAAAACUGAGAUGUGAACUGUGUACCCCGAUCAGACACGAUCUUCUUCGGAACUCCGUGCAGACUCACGAUUCUAUCCAUAUAUAACUUUGCCAACUUUGCACCAUCAUAGUUGGUCUUAACGGGCAAAAAGUGAGCAACUUUAGUGAGUCGAUCCACUAUUACCCAAAUUGAAUCAUACCCACGCUGGGUGCGGGGCAAUCCAGUGAUGAAAUCCAUACCUACUUCUUCCCAUUUCCACUCGGGCACUUGCAUUGGCUGCAACAACCCUGCAGGUCUUUGGUGCUCGGCUUUCACCCUCUGACAAGUAUCACAUAACGCUACAUACUCUGCCACAUCUCUCUUUAAUCCAUACCACCAAUAUUUUUCUUUAAGAUCUAGAUACAUCUUGGUGCUUCCGGGGUGAAUUGAAUAUGCAGAGUCAUGUGCUUCACGCAGGAUUGCAUCUCGGAUGGAUUUCACUUCUGGCACACAUAUUCUCUUCCUAAACCAUAGUGUACCAUUUUCGUCUAACUUGAAACCCGGUGCUUUUCCAAGCACUACAUUCUCUGAAAUUUCUUUUAGUUUCUCAUCUUCCAACUAACCUUUGCGGAUUUCUUGCUCUAAGGUGGGCUCUAACUCCAAUUCAACAGUGUUGUUCACUAAACCCAAAUUGAGAUGCGCUAUUUCAGCUAGCAACUCUGUGGGAAUGAAGGUCAAUUGCAGCCCAUUGGCAUAACUCUUUCGGCUAAGUGCAUCGGCAACAACGUUUGCCUUCCCGGGAUGGUAAUGCACUUCCAGGUCAUAAUCCUUUAUUAAUUCUAGCCAGCGGCGUUGCCUUAGGUUCAGGUCUGACUGUGUGAAAAUAUACUUCAAACUUUUGUGAUCCGUAUAAAUAUCACACUUAUGUCCAAUUAGAUAAUGCCUCCAAAUCUUCAGAGCAUGAACCACGGCAGCUAGCUCCAAAUCAUGAGUAGGAUAGUUCAGCUCAUGUUUUCUCAACUGCCUGGAUGCGUACGCCACUACUCUUCCUUCUUGCAUAAGCACACAGCCAAGGCCUAGGCGAGAUGCAUCGCAAUAAAUAGAGAAGGUUUUGCUCAGAUCUGGUAAGGUCAACACGGGGGCUGUGGUCAACCUUUUCUUUAGCUCCUCAAAAUUUUCUUGACACUUAUCUGACCAAAUAAAUUUGGCAGUCUUCUCUAGUAGGGCUGUCAUGGGCUUUGCUAACUUAGAGAAGCCUUCAAUAAAUCUCCUAUAAUAACCAGCUAGUCCCAAAAAGCUACGGAUCUCACUAGCAUUGGUUGGAGGCUUCCAAUUUAGCACAUCCCGCACUUUGCUGGGGUCUACGGCUAUUCCACCGUUAGAGACCACAUGUCCCAAAAAUGAGACCUCAUCCAACCAAAACUCACACUUGCUUUUCUUGGCAUACAAUUUAUUCUCUCUAAGCUUUUGCAAGACCAGCCUCAAGUGUUCAGCAUGUUCUUCUUUGGUUUUGGAGAAGAUUAAUAUAUCAUCAAUGAAUACUACCACGAACUUAUCCAAAUACUCCAUGAACACCUUGUUCAUCAUAUACAUGAAGUAUGCAGGUGCAUUGGUCAGCCCAAAUGACAUGACUGUAUACUCAUACAAGCCAUACCUUGUGGUAAAAGCUGUCUUAGGUAUGUCAGUUGCACGGAUUUUCAACUGGUGAUAGCCAGAUCGAAGGUCAAUUUUGGAGAAUACACAUGCUCCUUUCAGUUGGUCAAAUAAGUCAUCUAUUCUAGGCAAUGGGUACUUGUUUUUAAUAGUGACUUCAUUUAAUGACCGAUAAUCCACACACAUCCUCCUAGUGCCAUCUUUCUUAUCAACAAAGAUUACUGGUGCACCCCAUGGUGAAGAACUAGGACGAAUAAACCCUUUUUCUUGCAAUUCCUUAAGUUGUUUCUUAAGUUCCUCUAAUUCAUUUACCCCCAUUCUAUAUGGUCUUUUUGCUAUGGGUGCAGUUCCAGGUAAAAGCUCAAUAAGAAAUUCAAUGUCUCGGUCUGGUGGCAUACCUGGCAACUCAUCCGGGAAAACAUCGGGGAACUCGUCCACCACCUGGUCUUCUUGAUUACCACCACUCAACUGAUUCACCGUAGCAGUCGGCUGAGGCUGCACUGCCACAUCCACACUUAUUCUAUCCCCACAUGGUGAUGUCACCACCACAGCCCUCUCUUGACACUGUAUUACUGCCCCAUGCUGCUUCAUCCAAUCCAUACCAAGUAUGAGGUCAAUUCCCAUGGUUCUUAGCACAAUAGGUUUCACCUUGAAAUCUACCCCCCUUAGAGAUAUACUAGUGGAGGGGCUCCAGUAAUUAGCUGGCAUGGUGCCUCCCGGUGAAUUUACUAGCAUGGAAUUUUUCAGUGCACAAAGUGGGAUGCUAUGCACUCUAACAAAAGCUUGGGAGAUAAAAGAAUGUGAAGCACCAGAAUCAAACAGUACUGUAGCGGGGAUGGAGUUGAUGUUGAACGUACCCAUCAUAACCUCAGGUGCUUCCUGAGCUGUGUCAGUGGACACAUGGUUCACUUUCCCAGAGAACGGAGGUCGAGCAGGCCUCUGAUUGUUGUUCUGAUUUUGCUGGGCUGGUGGAUUCUGCUUCCUGGGGCACUGGUAGGCAUAGUGUCCCACCUCUCCGCAGCGGUAACAGGCAUUGGGAUUUCCGCUGGGUGCUGCACUCUUGCCAGGAGCAUUGUUGGGCACUCCUUGGCGUGGUGCCUGGUUGCUGACCUGUUGCUGGAGGCGCUGCUGACUCUGAUUGCCAUACUGCUGUUGAGGGCGUUGUUGGUUUUGGUGGCUGUACUGCUGGUGGUACUGAGGACGCUGUGGAAACUGACUCCGGUUCCACUGAUUCGGCGGCCCUUGACUGCGCUGAGGGAAUCCCUGCUGAGGGUACGCACGUGGGCGAGUGUUGCUGCCCGACGGCUGCCCCUGGAGCUUUCUCUUCUUUGCAUCCAUCUCCUUGCGCUUGUUGUCGAUGACAAUAGCGCGGUUCACCAAUUCUUGAAAGCAAGGGUAGGUGUUGCUCAUCAGCUGCAGCUGCAGUCCAUCAUACAGACCCUUCAUGAAAAGACGUUGCUUGUCAGAGUCCCUGGCCACCUCAUAUGGAGCAUAUCGUGACAGUUGAGCAAACUUGUCACGAUACUCACUGACUGACAUUGAUCCCUGCUUGAGAGAUCUGAACUCUUCCGCUUUCAGUUCUAUCAGGCCCUCCGGAAUAUGAUGGGACCUGAACCCUUCCGUAAACUCCUUCCAGGUGACUGGCGGAGCAUUGUUCGGGCGUCCAUAUUGAUAGGACUCCCACCACUCCUGUGCAGGUCCUUGCAGCUGACCUGAUGCGUACAGCACUUUCUCCAGGUCGCUGCAUUGGGCAAUGUUCAGCUGCUUCUCGACUGCUUUUAACCAGUCGUCUGCCUCCAGUGGAUCAGAGGCAUGGGUGAACACCGGAGGGCGUCCUUUCAAGAACUCCCCUCGCUUGUCACGGACUUGAACCGGAGGUGGUGCUGCUACUGGUUCAUUGUUCAUACGUUUCAUCAUGGCUUGCAUCAAAUUAGCUUGCAUACCCAUAAGCUGCUCAAUAGUCAUCGGCGGCGGUGGUGGUGGUGGAUUCUCAGGUACACCACGUCCACGGCCACGACCACGGCCACGGCCACGUCCACGACCAGCGGCUGCUCCUUCGGCGUCCAUCUGCUUCCAACAAAAAUUCAUGGCUUUUAGUGAUCUUCCAAAAAUAAUUAUUCAUCGCUUAUAGUGAAUAAAAACAAGUCUAGCAGUUUUCUGGACAAGUUUCAAACUCAGCAGGUCAGUAAUCCGUGCUUAUCUCAGAACCUACAGGUCCAAAAAGGAAUAUGGUAUACAUUGUUGGAAAGGUUAAGAAAUUCUCUACAAACUUUAUUCAGACCACAUUCACUGAUUCCAACAGUAACAUAAUCAAAAUUAUGAUUUAUCAGGUUCUGCUCUGGUUCUCAGUCUGCGCAGGUACAGCAGAUUAAAACGGACAUAUCUCACAGAUCCGAAUAGAUAAUGAGGUGAUUCCAGUUGGAGAUGAAAGAUAUAGCAGUCUAGUUUUCACCAUAAAAAUUUCGUAAUUUUUGACUGAACCGAUAAUGAGAUACUGAAUAAGCAUCACAGACUGCUCCAGAAACAGCAUGACUGAGACAAGAUAAAGUAACCCAACCUCGAAAUUAAACAACAUUACUUCUAAGAUUAAUAUUUAGAAACAUGCGGACAGGCCCACAUGUUUCCACAAUCAAACAAAACUCCAAAUCAUAAAUGUUCAUCAACACAAACAGCAACUCACUAAAGUUCACAUGCCACACAUUACUGAAAUACUCGUGCUAGCGUCAAUCUAGAAAGUACUGGGAAAUCUAAGGAGCUCUAUCCUGGAGAACGAACUUGCGGGGAUUCUUCUUGUAGAUGGGUGGCUGUCCAAGCUGACCACGCAGCUCAUCCACCUGACGCUGGAGGCGCUUCCCCGCCUGUUGUGCAACACGCAGCUCCUGUCUCAGUGCCCCAUUCAUCUCCUGAAUGGCACUGACGUGUCUCACAGUCGUAUCCAGGGUAGGGUCGCCGGCAGGAGGUGCCAGGACAUGUCAUGUCUUGCCAUCUGGGUCGUUGCGGGGAAGGAACCGGUACCUGUCCUCCUGCAUGGCCUCAAAACGGCGGCCAUGGUAGUGAAAGUACGCGGCCUGAGCUGCAUCCUCCAUGCUCUCGUAGGCGGAAGCACGUCUAACCCGGCUCUCGUGGAUGGACUCCACCUCGUCCGAGUUGUCGACGUUGUUCCGAGCUGUAAUGAUCACCUCGGCCUUCCAGUAGGUGUUCUCCAACGGGUGCUUGUGCUCCGAGCAAAGGUAGCGGACGGUGGCGGCAAACUCCGGGUAAUAGCUCGCCAACACACCCGUGAGCAAAGUGUGGUAGUGAGCGUCCUCGUCCGCCUCCAUGAACUUGUUCCUGGAGGUCCAUCCCAUCUCCGGAACAACCUGAGGGUACUGAGGCGUCGGUGCUGAACCCGUCGACGCGUGGGGUGCAGGCGCAGGUGGUGCAGGUGCAGGUGGUGCAGGUGGUGCAGGCGCAGGUGGAACUGGAGCGGCAGCCUGCGGGAUCGGUACCGCCACUGGUGUAGGAGCUGAAGGCGUAGGCGUAGGGGAUCCCGUGUCCAUUGGCUCCUCCUCCUCGCCGCCACCAGAGGCGACGACCUCGGGCUCAGGUACGGGUGCUGGUACUGGUGCAGGUGCAGGUACUGGAGCUGGUGCUGGUGCAACUGCCGGAGCACGGGCGGCGACGAAGAGGGCACGGUACGCGGCUGCGCUGCGACGAGGCAUCUAUAAAUUUUGUUUUAAGAAUUAGAAUCAAUAGGUUUACAUAAAUAGAACAGUGAGUAAGAAUAUAAACUAUUAAUAAAAUAACAAGAAAGUAAAGUGAGCAGUGAAAUAAAUAAAGCGAAAAUAAGAACCCUAAAAUCGACUGUUUCUACCUAGGUUUGCGUCCUACAGUCAGCCUUGCUUUGAUACCAAUUUGUCACACCCAAAUUUAAGGAUAAAUUUGAGUACAAUAAUCUCAUGUGCGCCCCAGGAAUAGUCGCGCACACAAGUCGACAAAUUACAAAUGUAUCAUAACAAGUGUUCUUACAAAACGUUAUUACAACACAAAUAUAUCAAAGUCUGCGACAAACGGAAAAUAAACUCAUAACUAGCUAUGAUAAGAUAACUCCAACACAGGGACGACCGACUGGGGGAUCGCCAACCUAGAAGUCCUCAGGGAAUUCCUCGUAGAAGCUGUCAUCUGUUACCCAUCCGGGAUUUUGUCCAAAAAGAAAGAUAAAGACAAGCGUGAGUACAUCUCGUACUCCGCAAGCAUAACACAGGAAUUUAUGCGGCUCAAAGAGGUCAGACACUGGCUACGGCAGUUAGCAUUUUAAUUGGUCAAUGUUUUAAUCCUAUUUAAUCAUCAAUUAUGCUUAAGCUCCCGAUUAGCCCAAAUGAGCACAUGAUAAUAACACCGUUAACCUUCACGGCUAACACCAUCACCAUCACGGUUAAACCACAUUAAUCAUCACGAUCCAUGCGUCAGAUUUUCAUAAGUUAUUUCCCAUAAUCAUCCACACCCAACUAUUCCGUAAGGGUCCAAGGCCACUCAUGUCCGAGAGCACGGCUAGUAUACCAGUUUGAUCAUACUCUGCGCAGAGGUGUGCACUUUUCCCGUAAGUCGUGUUACCCAUAUGCCCGGGGUUUGCAAGACCCACUAACACUGCCAAGGUGAGCGGGCAGGGAACACUAUGAAGCCUUCCGUAGGCCACGUCUAACCAGUUAGGGCCGCGAGGUUUCCUCGGCAGGCAGAUAUAGAGAACCCCCCUUUCCUAUGGCACAUUUCCAUCAUGGCUAUACACAUAGGAACAAAAGCAGUUCUAUACCCAAAGUGGCAAGCCUCUCUUGCGCCCUUUCGGGUAACCUCUAACCAGCUAGAUGAGAUCCUAUUACUGAGCUAAAGUUAGAGCCAUAUAACCAUCACGGUUGCACUGUAAGUCCCGGAUUGUCGCUUACAGAGAAGUCCUUACGGAGGGUCUAGGUCAACUCGACCGAAGUCAAUUGCACCAUAGCCCUUUUUCCCAACAUUUAUCAUCAUAUUCAUUAAAGUCAGAGUGAUAGUAAAUUCUCAAUUAAUUAAAGCACUAGCAAAGCUACCCACAUGCAUUCUACCCAUAGGUGUCAUAAAUAUAUAGUCAGGUAGCUAGGAUGUCCUUAGGGUUACCAAAUUAGACACAUGCAGAUGCGUAAUUAAUUAAGUGAAUAGGUGUACAAGGGAAACCCAUGUUAUACUUGCCUUCAGUGAAGGGGAACUGCUGCUGGUCCUGCUGCUCCUUGUAGUAAAAUGGAUCACCCACGGACACGUCACCGUCUGCGCUCGAUCGGUACCACACAACAACACGCAUCCAGGUUCAUUCAUACAAGCAAACAAUCAUUUAAUUAGAACAGUACACCAACAGAUCAAAAUGAAAUAAAAUACUUAAAAACAGAACCUUCGAUUCGCUACGAUCACAUUGGUACGAAGAUCACGAAAAUCGGAGCUAAAACGACCAAGUUACGACUUUCCGGCGAUUUCCUAUAGGCAAUUAAUUAAUUAAACCUAACCCUGAAAAUAAAAAGUGGCAAACUAUAGAAACAGUGGUACUAUCAUGUAGAGAAUUUAAUUACGAACCUAACGCAAUUUGAACGGGUCAAUUCGGAGCUAUAACGAAUAUUUUAUGGCCAAAACAAGUUCAGUGGCAAUUCUGUAAUUUCCCGAAAGCGUAUUUUGACCUAACCGACGGAUAAUACGUUUUCUAAAAGAGAAAACGUAUUUUACUCGAAGGUGCUAGGGACUGCGGCCGAAUUAGGAAAUCCGGGAGGGGCUCUUUAAGCAAAUUUUCCCCCGAAGGGGUAUGAUGCGCUGAGGGCCGUCAGAUCGCGAACGGACGGCCGAGAUUAGAGAAAGGGGGAAAAGAGAGAGAGGGGCGGCGCUCCUGGCCGGAGGGAAAGGAGGGCGCGGCGGCGGCCAUUGCUGGCCGACCCAAGCUCACCGGCGAAAUUCGAUAGGGCGCUACGGGGCAUGGUUUUGCGAACCGAAACUACCAGGAGAGAGAGGAGGUCGUAGCGAACUCGAUUCCAAGCUUAGCGCGGCCGGGGAGACCAAACGUGACCCGCUCCAUGGCCGGCGGCCAUGGAGCUCGACGGAGUUCGCCGAAACCGACCCCAACGACCAAGAAACGGAACGAAACGAGCACCGGGAGGAAGCGAGGAAGGAGACGAUGCUCACCCAGGGGACGAAACGCGGCAAAAGGGCUCCAAACGGAGGAACGACGCGCGGCGGCGCUUGCUGCUCCGGCAGUUUCUUUUCUGCGCUAGGAUGAGAGGAAAACAGAGGCGAGGAGGGGGAAUGGGGGAGAAAGAACAGGGCUCGGGCGCGGGGCUCUUCAAAAGCUUCCGAGGCGCGGGGGGGGGGGAAAUCGUGGGCGCGGGCUUCGGCCUUGCGGUUUCCAAACCGAUAGAGAGAGAAGAGCGGGGGUGACGGUUGGGGAAGAGAGAGCUGACAGGCGGGCCCGGCCUGUCAGCGGGUGAGAGAGAGAGAGGGGGAAGGGAGGGGGAGGCGGCUGGGCCGGCCCAAGAAGGAGAUGGGGCGCGCGGGGGGGGGGGGGGGGGUUUGCUGGGCCUCCAAGCCGAAAAGAGGAAGGGGAAGAGAAGUUUCUUUUUUUUUCUUUUUUUUAUACUAAUUUUUUUUUCCAAUUGAGAUUUUGAGCAGGAAAAAGAAAAUAAAAGAAUCACUUUGUUUUCCAAUCAAUCAUCACAAAAGAAAUGCUCCGGCAUGAAUGCAACAUAAACAUUUCUCUAAGUUUAUAACAAAUUUUAAUUUCUCCAAAUUUAUUUAUUUUCCUAUAGUGAAAAUGCUCACAAAAUAAAUUCAUUUAAAUUCAUUUCAUCUAUUUAAAAGAAACAAAAUUUUUGGGUGUUACAAGAACUAAACAAGACUCAAACUGGUGUGCAAGUGUUUAGUUCCGAAAAGUGAAAAGUUUUCGGUACUGUAGCACUUUCGUUUGUUUGUGACAAAUAUUAUCCAAUCAUAGACUAACUAGGAUCAAAAGAUUUGUCUCGUGAUUUACAGUUUAAUUAGUUUUUGUUUUCGUCUAUAUCUAAUGUUUCAUACAUAUGCCACAAGAUUCGAUGUGACGGAGAAUCUUGAAAACUUUUUAGUUUUCAGGAUGAACUGCCUUGUUUACUUCCCAAAAAAUUUUGCAAAAUUUUUCAGAUUCUACGUCACAUCGAAUCUUUAGACGCAUGCAUGGAGUAU